GAAAGCAGUUCUACUAACUAUGGAUGAGCAAGGGAUAAAGCAUGAGGAGUAUCUCAGCAACUUUCAGAAGAUCCUCAUCGAUCUCUUCAGCAUUGGUGAGAAAGUUAAGGAGAAGAUCAAAACGUUGAUCUUGCUUAUGUCGCUUCUCCUUUCUUUUGAGUCCUUGGUGACUACUCUUCUUGUGAGGAAGAGCACCAUCAAGAUAAAAGAGAUUACUUCUG
rnacentral:lncRNA from 1 species